GAACGGACAGACAGAGAGCUUGCUCUCUUGAAGUUAGUGGCGAACGGGUGAGUAACGCGUAAUCAACCUGCCCUUCAGAGGGGGAUAACAACGGGAAACCGUUGCUAAUACCGCGUACGAUUCAUGAACGGCAUCGUUUAUGAAUGAAAGGUGGCCUCUAUAUAUAAGCUAUCGCUGAAGGAGGGGAUUGCGUCUGAUUAGCUAGUUGGAGGGGUAACGGCCCACCAAGGCAAUGAUCAGUAGCCGGUCUGAGAGGAUGAACGGCCACAUUGGGACUGAGACACGGCCCAAACUCCUACGGGAGGCAGCAGUGGGGAAUCUUCCGCAAUGGACGAAAGUCUGACGGAGCAACGCCGCGUGAGUGAUGAAGGUCUUCGGAUUGUAAAGCUCUGUUAAUCGGGACGAAAGAGUUCUGUGUAAAUAAUGCAGAAAAGUGACGGUACCGGAAUAGAAAGCCACGGCUAACUACGUGCCAGCAGCCGCGGUAAUACGUAGGUGGCAAGCGUUGUCCGGAAUUAUUGGGCGUAAAGCGCGCGCAGGCGGCCUAUCCAGUCUGUCUUAAAAGUUCGGGGCUCAACCCCGUGAUGGGAUGGAAACUAGUAGGCUAGAGUAUCGGAGAGGAAAGCGGAAUUCCUAGUGUAGCGGUGAAAUGCGUAGAUAUUAGGAAGAACACCAGUGGCGAAGGCGGCUUUCUGGACGAAAACUGACGCUGAGGCGCGAAAGCCAGGGGAGCGAACGGGAUUAGAUACCCCGGUAG
rnacentral:rRNA from 1 species